CCCUCGGGAGGGGGACACCCCCGGGAAACUGGGGCCAAUCCCCCAUAGGGGCGGGGCGCUGGAAGGCCCCCUCCCCGAAAGGACGGCGGCCGAUCCGCCGCCGCCCGCCCGAGGAUGGGGGCACGGCCCAUCAGGUAGUUGGCGGGUUAAAGGCCCGCCAAGCCGAAGACGGGUAGGGGCGGUGAGAGCCGCGAGCCCCGAGAUCGGCACUGAGACAAGGGCCGAGGCCCUACGGGGUGCAGCAGGCGCGAAUACUCCGCAAUGCGGGCAACCGCGACGGGGCUACCCCGAGUGCCGGGCGAANAGCCCGGCUUUUGCCCGGUCUAAAAAGCCGGGAGAAUAA
rnacentral:rRNA from 1 species